CUGGCCCUCAGUGUCAGCCAGGAAGAACAGGGUUCAGCGAGUAAAAAUGCAAAAUUGAGCAGAGGGAACAGCUGGUAUCAAGUUGCUUUUCUCACGACCCAUGAACAGAGCCCUGGGUGACAGUGACAGAGACAGUGGGAGCAGAGGCCCUGGUGACAUUCAGGCAGGUGUAGAGCAGGCACUUGGAGUCUCAUCAGCAGAAUCACCAGGCCUGUCAGCGAUGGUUGUCAUUGCGCCCACCUGGGAAGGAAGGGAGACCCUCACAAGCUGGGGCAGGACGGUGGCACCUCGCGUGCCUGCCAGGCUGAGGAAGAUGGAGGCUUCCCUCCACCCCGAGCAGCUGGGUUACAGGAGAGAACUAAGUAAGGCACGGUUAGGCCUGACCUCCCCAGUGUUUGGGCUCAGUUGACCUUUAUGAAAAGGCAUGGUUAAUUCAACAUUUUCUUCAUCUAAAUGUUUAAUUUGGAGUAGUUAUAUAUUAGAAGUUUCAGAAAUAGUUCCCAGUGGUCCUUUGUUUCCCCAGUUUCUGGCUGUGGGGAAAUAGUUCAUAACGGAUAUAAACACACCCCAGCAGCGUCCCACCCCGAGCACCGAGACCCGCCUACCAAGGCCCACCUCAUCUAGCCUCAGGUCUGUGCCGUGAGAAGUCAGUGCUCGGGGGUUGGGGAUUUGGCUCAGCGGUAGAGCACUUGCCUAGCAAGCACAAGGCCCUGGGUUCAGUCCCCAGCUCCG
rnacentral:lncRNA from 1 species